rnacentral:rRNA from 1 species
UAUAACGGCUACGGCAGGCCUCCUACAGGUUAGUCGAACGGGAUUGAGGAGCUUGCUUCUCAUGAGAGUGGCGUACGGGUGCGACGCGUAUGCAACCUACCUUCAUCAGGUGGAUAGCCCGAAGAAAUUCGGAUUAACACCGCAUAAUAUUACUGGAUGGCAUCAUUCGGUGAUCAAAUAUUUAUAGGAUGAAGAUGGGCAUGCGUGUCAUUAGCUAGUUGGUGAGGUAAUGGCUCACCAAGGCGACGAUGACUAGGGGAUCUGAGAGGAUGACCCCCCACACUGGUACUGAGACACGGACCAGACUCCUACGGGAGGCAGCAGUAAGGAAUAUUGGUCAAUGGAGGCAACUCUGAACCAGCCAUGCCGCGUGCAGGAAGACUGCCCUAUGGGUUGUAAACUGCUUUUAUACGGGAAUAAACAAUCUUUCGUGACAGAUCUUGAAUGUACCGUAAGAAUAAGGAUCGGCUAACUCCGUGCCAGCAGACCGGGUAAUACGGAGGAUCCAAGCGUAAUCCGGAUAUAUAGGCGUCUCACAGGGAACCGUACGCGUGCCUAUAAAAGUAAGAGGGUUGAAA